rnacentral:rRNA from 1 species
CGGACGGGUGAGUAAUGCCUAGGAAUCUGCCUGGUAGUGGGGGACAACGUUUCGAAAGGAACGCUAAUACCGCAUACGUCCUACGGGAGAAAGCAGGGACCUUCGGGCCUUGCGCUAUCAGAUGAGCCUAGGUCGGAUUAGCUAGUUGGUGAGGUAAUGGCUCACCAAGGCGACGAUCUGUAACUGGUCUGAGAGGAUGAUCAGUCACACUGGAACUGAGACACGGUCCAGACUCCUACGGGAGGCAGCAGAA